rnacentral:rRNA from 1 species
CAAGUCUAGGGGGUGUAGCAAUACAUCACCGGCGGACGGGUGCGUAACGCGUGGGAAUGUACCUAUUGGUUCGGAACAACACAGGGAAACUUGUGCUAAUACCGAAUGUGUCCUUACGGAGAAAGAUUUAUCGCCAAUAGAUCAGCCCGCGUCCGAUUAGCUAGUUGGUGGGGUAAAAGCCUACCAAGGCGACGAUCGGUAGCUGUUCUGAGAGGAAGAUCAGCCACACUGGGACUGAGACACGGCCCAGACUCCUACGGGAGGCAGCAGUUGGGAAUCUUGGACAAUGGGGGAAACCCUAAUCCAGCCAUGCCGCGUGAGUGAUGAAGGCCUUCGGGUUGUAAAACUCUUUCGCGCACGACGAUAAUGACGGUAGUGCGAGAAGAAGCUCCGGCUAACUUCGUGCCAGCAGCCGCGGUAAUACGAAGGGGGCUAGCGUUGUUCGGAAUUACUGGGCGUAAAGCGCGCGCAGGCGGUUCUUCAAGUCAGUGGUGAAAGCCCGGAGCUCAACUCCGGAACUGCCAUUGAAACUGUAGAACUUGAGGAUGAGAGAGGUGAGUGGAAUUCCCAGUGUAGAGGUGAAAUUCGUAGAUAUUGGGAAGAACACCGGUGGCGAAGGCGGCUCACUGGCUCAUUUCUGACGCUCAGGCGCGACAGCGUGGGGAUCAAACAGGAUUAGAUACCCUGGUAGUCCACGCCGUAAACGAUGAUUGCUAGCCGUUGGGCAGCUUGCUGUUCAGUGGCGCAGCUAACGCAUUAAGCAAUCCGCCUGGGGAGUACGGCCGCAAGGUUGAAACUCAA